UUAAAAAAUAUUGUUGUCAACAUUCAGUAAAAUUUUGAGAAAAAUCUAAUUGACAGUUUUUUACAAAAAAUAAAAUCCUAAAAAAAAACAAUAAUAAAACUUAGUACAAAUUUACUUUUCUUUUCAAAAAAUAUUGCCUUCAAACUUUUUUAUUUUGUAGAAAAUAUUGUUUUCGAUAUUCAGUAGUUUUUUUUAUAAAAAUCGAACAGUUCAUUUUUUCAUUAAAAAAAAUAAAAUCUACAAGAAAUAUGGGCGUAUUCAUAGAGUACUAAUAAAGUCGUGAUUUCUUGAUCUAUAGUUUAAGGUUUGUUAAUUAAUUAGUACCCGUAGCAUAGAGGAAAUAUAAUUCCCGACCUGUACCCGUCCUACAUAAAACAACACAAAUAUUAUUCGAGGUGAACUCUCUCAAAUUCGAGGUAAACUCUCUCAAAUUUGCUAUCGGUUCGUUGAAUACAUGUGAGUGGAGAAAAAAUAGCAAAAUGAGGGAUUGGGCUAAAAAGAAACUUAUGGAAUUUGUGUGACCUGUCAAAAAUGACAAUCAAUUUUGCAAAACAAAACAAUGGAUUUUUGUUAAUUGUUUUGAUAUUUAAUAUAAUUUGAUAAAUUUCAGACUAAAAUCCUUUUUAAUGAAAAGAAUAUAUACUUAGCUGGCUGACACAGAUGACGUAGAUGAGGUAGCCGAACAGAAUGUCGAUUUGGAAGCAACCUGCUGAGAUAAUAAAGCACCUCUUAAAUGAAUCCAGUCGGAAAUCAUUGAAUUUCCUGCAGUUUUGGUAAAAUUAAGGACUGCCAAUAUAGAAGAAUUCCCUAAAGCAUGUUUCAAACGACUUAAUAAGCCACAAUUUUUCAAUCUAUGGAUCGACUUACGAGCCUUCUUUUGGGAAUAAUACAAUUAUAAUCUAAUCCAUUUCAUUGUGCGUUCGUUAACCAGAAGGUUCAUGAUGGCGAUACUACUUCAAACAACCAAACCAAACGAAGUUGUAUUGCAACAAGUCAUACAAUUUGAUUCGACGACAUGCUUAGAAUUUCAUCCAUUGAUAAUCUUUUUAAAAUAAAUUUGAUUUUUUUUUCAAAAAUUUUUUUUAAAUUCAAUGCUAUUAUUUAUUUUGAAUUAAAAAAAAAACAGAAAAUUAGAUGUUUAAAUGUAUCUUAGUUUUUGAUUAAUUAAAAGAAUAUUUAAUAUAUGUA